AGAGGGUGCGAGCGUUGUCCGGAAUCACUGGGCGUAAAGGGCGCGUAGGCGGCCUGAUAAGUAGGGGGUGAAAUCCUGUGGCUUAACUGCAGGGCUGCCUCCUAGACUGUCGGGCUCGAGCACGGUAGAGGCAGAUGGAAUUCCCGGUGUAGCGGUGGAAUGCGUAGAGAUCGGGAAGAACAUCGGUGGCGAAGGCGGUCUGCUGGGCCGUUGCUGACGCUGAGGCGCGACAGCGUGGGGAGCAGACAGGAUUAGAUACCCUGGUAGUCCACGCCGUAAACGAUGGACACUAGGCGUCGGGGGGAGCGACCCUCUCGGUGCCGUCGCUAACGCAGUAAGUGUCCCGCCUGGGGAGUACGGCCGCAAGGCUG
rnacentral:rRNA from 1 species